rfam:Aedes albopictus isolate Foshan contig110860, whole genome shotgun sequence.
UAGCCUAGUGGUUAAGGCUAAGGAUCGCCAAUCCGGAGAUGGCGGGUUCGAUUCCCGU